GAUGAACGCUGGCGGCGUGCUUAACGCAUGCAAGUCGAACGGUGAACGAGGGAGCUUGCACCCUCCGGAUCAGUGGCGAACGGGUGAGUAACACGUGAGCAAUCUGCCCUGGACUCUGGGAUAAGCGUUGGAAACGACGUCUAAUACCGGAUACGAGGCGUGGGGGCAUCCCCAACGCCUGGAAAGAACUUCGGUCCAGGAUGAGCUCGCGGCCUAUCAGCUUGUUGGUGAGGUAACGGCUCACCAAGGCGACGACGGGUAGCCGGCCUGAGAGGGUGACCGGCCACACUGGGACUGAGACACGGCCCAGACUCCUACGGGAGGCAGCAGUGGGGAAUAUUGCACAAUGGGCGCAAGCCUGAUGCAGCAACGCCGCGUGAGGGACGACGGCCUUCGGGUUGUAAAGCUCUUUUAUCCGGGACGAUAAUGACGGUACCGGAGGAAUAAGCCCCGGCUAACUUCGUGCCAGCCGCCGCUGUAAUAC
rnacentral:rRNA from 1 species